AAUUUCCUUAAGUGUCUUUCAGCCAUUUUAGAUUCUUCUGUUGAGAGUUCUCUGUUUAGGUCUGUACCCCGGUUUUAUUGGAUUAUUUGUUCUUUUGAUGUCAAGUUUCUUGAGUUCUUUGUCUGAGGUUGAGGCUGCCUGAGCUUUCCCCCUUCUGUGUUAGCAUGUCUGCUGGUGUCAUCCUUGUUUAGGUCAUGUUUAGAUGGCCAUGUUGAUGAGAUUUCAUGGGUACAGCUUCUGACAUUCAUAGGAAACACAAUCUCAUAGCACUGUCUUCCUCUGGCUUUCAAUCUUUUUGUUCCUUCUUCUAUGAUCCCCGAGUCUUAGAUGUGGGAGUUGUGAUGUAGAUGCAUCAGGUACAUCUGGGCUCACAACCCUGCAUCUUAACUGGUUGUGGUUUACUUCGAUGGCCUCUGUUUCUGUGGUGAGGAGUGAGGAGUACCGUGUGUGUAGGACAAAUAUUUAGAAUCUCUUCCCAGCAUUUUUGAACAUCAUCUGUAAUUUUAUCUUUAAAAAUGUUACAGAUGCAUUCACAAAUUCUAGAUUUUCCAGAUAGAUUUAAAAAAAUCUGAAAAACAAAAAGCAAACUCAGAAUAUAUUCCAAACAUUUCCCAGUCCUACAUUCAUUUGAUAGUUGCGCACACGCUAACAAUAUAACCCUAGAUAGUUUCCUUCACAGUUAAAAUGAGGAUUGGAGCCAUUAUUUUGGAGUCAGUGAAUUUAAAAUCAUGAUGGUAAUCCACAGCUACUCUUCCCUGGAUCACUGUAUUUGGGAUGGUGAGGCUCAUUUAGAAGGUAGUUUGAGAACUUCUGAAGGCAGGCACUCCUAUUUUCUACAGUGUAAUAUACUCUAAACCACUAAUUGGUGUUUAUUUAAAUGCAGCUGAUCAAUUCAGGUGAUGGUUUUAAAAUGGAAACUGUACCAUCUAGACCUCUGUAAAUCUCAUUAUUAGGCAUGUGUUGGAAGACCAUGAAAUUUUCUUGUAGCAGGAGAGCUAGGGAUAAUACACUAGAGACCGGACAGCAGAACGGAGAAAGUCAUUUGAGGGUCCCUGGAGACCUAUGCUGCUUUCCCUCUAAUGAUCCAAAUUACUAAAAUGCUGCUGUCAUAUGGUAGUACCCCAUAUCAUAUGUGUUACUUUCUUUGACUCCUGCUGGAAAAGUUUCAGAGUCCUUUUUGGGCUCCUGCCAGCACAAGUAGUUAUGCGUUAUCCACUGCUCAUACUCUUUAAUAACUGUAUUGUAGACUGGUACAGCAGUCCAGCAUGUCUCCCUACAGGGUCUCCAUGGUGUCUUUGUACUAACGGAAGCUGUAAUUUCUUCACUGAUUUUUUCCCCUAGCAUUUAUUUCACCUCACCUAUAACUUCAGAAAAUAUUUUUAUAUAUGCUUAUGUGAGAUAUAAAAAGUUGUGGGAGGUGAGAGGACAAAGACACAGGACUCCUACAGCCAGGCGGAAAUUAUAGUGCUGGGAGAAACAAAAAUACCACAUGUGCACUAAUGCAAACAUAUGAUAUGGUAUUGGAAGUGGAGGAAAUCGCAUGAAUUUGAACUAGUGGGGAGAGGCUAUGUUUAUCCUUCUGAGAUCCUGGAGGACAAAUUUGGAAGCUGUUCUUGCUGCCUUCAGGGAAAGACUUGAAAUGAGGGCUUUCAGUGACUUGGUGGACAUUUGUCCCAGUGACUGCUCAGCAGUUUUAGAAUACCUUUCCUAUGUCUAUUAAGCGUCUAUCUGUAAGCCCUGUUUUCCCAGGGGAGAGGCUACAAGGAGAAUCCUGGAAUUGAGCAUCUCAUUGGUGCACUGAGAUUCCCAUGUGGGAUCUGCGCUUCACCAAGAAAGAGGGAGAUCCCGAACUGAGUCAGCUCAGUCUGGAUGUAGAUAGUGGCUGAAAGCAGCAGCACCGAGGACUAAGAGAGUGGCUCAGUCGGUAAAGUUCCCACCAUGCAAGCAUGAGGACUUGAGUUCAAAUCUCUAGCACCCACAUUAACUCUGGAGGCAUUCAUCUGUAAUCCCAGUGUUGGGGUGGGUUGUAGAGAUAAGUAGAUCUUUGCAGUUCACUGACUAGCCAGUCCUGUCAAUCAGCAGAGUCCCAGGUCCAUUGUGAGACUCUUUCUCACAAUGUAAGGUGGAGAGCUAUUGGGGAAAACAGCUGACAGCACCAGUCAUCCUCAUGCACAUGCAUACACACACAUGUGUCUCUGCAUGUGCGUAUGAACACAAGAACAUGAAUAUGUAUCACUCCCACAUACAUCCAUAGCUUGGGUAGGCCUGAUUAACAGUGGGUAGUGACAUAGUGUUGCUCAGAGUAGCUGGCAAUGUCAUGGGCAUUGCUCUUUCUCUUUGCUUCCCAGCCUGAUUUUAUGUGUCUUAUGGUUAGUCUGCAGCUACUGAGUUCUGGUUCUGCUUUAAAGUGGCCAAGGUUGGACUGGGGAGAUAGCUCAGCAGUUAAUAGCCCUUGUUGCUCUUGCAGAGGACCUGGUUUUAGUUUCCCAGAACCCACAUGUUGCCUCAUGAUCAUCUCUAACUCCAAUUCCAGGGGUACAGCAUUUGCAACCCCAUUUCUUGGCCUCUUUGGGAACCAGUCACACAUAUGGCACACAUGCAUACAUGCAGCCCAGACAUUCAUACACAUGAAAUAAAUGAAUUAAAGAAAAAAAAGAAAACUGGCUAAAGCUGGUUUUAGUAUUUGCAAUUAAAUAUUCAAGCUAGCACAGUUUUCCUCCAGCACUUCAUUACAGCGUCUAGUGUAUCUGAUACUUCUGUGCAUUAUAGGAGUGGUGUUUACAUUACAGGAAGCCUCUAUUCCUGAUCUGUAGGCACUAAAUGCCAGCAGCAGACUCCAAGUAUUUUGACAAUUAAACAGCCCCAUACAUUUCCCAGAUCCACUCAAAUGAAGGUCACCUGUGCCCCAGUUGAGGACAUACUAUUAAAUCGCUCCCCAAACAGCACAAGAGACAUCUGUCUUUGUUUCCAUCCUAUCAAGAAGUAAUUUAGCGUCCAAGAGCACAAGCUCACCGGGACACUCUACACAUUAGCAGGUACCUAGAUGGGAAUGGGAAAUAAAACCACUUGCAUAUUUUGUGUGACAAAGUCUUGGGGGCCUCUGAGUACCAGCCUCAGUGUCCCCUCAGGGUUCAGAAGAGAACUCACAGCAGCACAGAACUUAUAAGGAUCUGAGGGCCAAACUCCCCACUACAUGCUUUUCUGCAUCAGUUUCUUGAUUCUUCUUCAUCAACUCUCUUCUCUGGUCUGUGAAGUUUUCAGUUUAUACACAUACACAAAACAAAGGCAAUUCUCUGAGCUUUGGAUGUCCCAUUAUCUUCGAAAGUCCCAAAUGUGAUCUGUAUGAAAGACGUUUUUCCUGACUGCAUGUCCUGCCAAUUGGAAGACAGUUGCAGGGAGGUGACUCCUAAUGUAUCUCAGGGAACAGAACAAAGAUAUGGCUGUGGGAACCAAGGUUUCUGGCUAUGUGACUAAAUUUUCUCAUUGGACGUCUCAUAGGGUAGGGGAAGCCAUCUGUUAAGCAAAAGAAGAAGGGAGCCUUUUAAAUGUCCACAGUCCUUGUGGGACAAACAGAUCCAUUAUGAAGCUUGUCUCAGUACAUAUUCUAUAUAUCAGAACCAUAUAGCUAAAUGAAAAGUCAUCUACCUGAUCACCCACAGAUACAUAUGCCCAUAAGAUUGAGAUGCAGUCAUGAGAUUACAUAUACACAUCACACGAGAUUACCCACUACAAUGUCUACAAUGCAGAUUUUGGGGAGACACCAGGCUGUUUCAGCAAAAGCGAACAACAGCUUUCAGAGUCCGUGGUGCUGCAGACCCUGUCUGGAUAGGAUUAAACCUCCAUCAGAUAAGCAUGCCUCUGGUGUGUUGACAUCUGAACACUAGUUGCCACCUGCUUCUCAUGACCCAUGACAAAAAGACCAAAACACUUAAAUUAUUGCACUUAAAAAUGAUUGAAUAAAUCAAUUAUGAUAAUUAUUAUAAAGUCAUCAUUGCAUCCAUUUCUUAGUUUACGUGAUUGGGGAGCAGACUUACAUACUGAGAGAAGAGGCAAUCUCCAAAUUCUAGCACUGUGUGGUCUGCUGAAUGUACUAUUAUUAUGUAAUUAUAACAACAGGACUACUUCUUGUUCAACUUCAUUAAAACACUUAAAAUAUGUGCCAAAUGAAAAAAGUCUAAUUUUCCAAUAACGAUAGAGCUGUGUAAGAAAUAUGAGUAUUUUAAUAUAAUAAAAAUUUUAAUUUUUCUCUGAGUGGCAGAGUAGAAAGAUUUUAUAUAAAAAAUGAGAAAGAACUCUUCUGUAGGUAUUCCUUAAACUUGAAGGGCGUCUCCUGGAUUAAAUGACAUAUGGAGAGGCAGAGGUGAGGCAAGCGGAGAGUGAGAAGUUUGAUGGAGCGUUCAGAUGUUCAGAUCAAAGGCAUGGAACAGAACAAAGAGUACGUGUGCAUCGCCGUGAGCUGAUUGUGGGGACUUUAGAUUUUAAAAUAGAAAUCGGCAGUUUUCAGUGCGUUUGGAAUGUUAUACUUUUAAAAAAAAUCCGUAUAGUUUGUUUCUUCCCAUAAUGGAUUAUUUUAAGAUGUCAGUGAAUAUCUGACACUUACCAAAAGGAAACAGUUUGAGUGGGGAUGCUGGUCUUGGGGCAGCCUAAUCCUUUUUUCAGUUCUUCAUCUCUCCAAAUGCUCAUUUUCUUGUGACUUCCCAUGGAUGGCCUUUUCUAUGUAAUUUCAUAAUAAAUUCCUCUGUCCUGUUGAUAAUGUGGUGUGACCAUGUGACUUAUCUUGAACAAUGGGAUGUUAGUAGAUGAGGAACAAGUCAAGGCUUAAACUCUGGAGAUACAUGAGACAGACUGAACCAAACCUCUAUCCUGGGAAAGACCUAUUGCCUAAGGAUGUGACUAGUGGCCCUUUCCCUGAAUGCAUAGGAUUGAAGAAGACAAAGGUGGUUCAAUUGCUGUGCAGCGUUAUUCUGGCAAAGACCAAUGCUGUGGAACCUGUAAGUCAAACUGAAACACAGAAGCAAGCUUGUGAAUGUAAAAGAAUCCCACAGUAUGGCUUAACCAUUUUGGAAGUAACUAAAUCUCUUCUGAUUGGAUUGAGAGCCUGUAACACAAGGAGUAACCCAUGCUUGGUACUUUAAACUGUGUCCAAAAGCCAUGGCUAGGGCUGGAGAGAUGGAUGGCUCAGUAGUGCAGACCACUUAUUCUUGCAGAGGAUCAGGAGUUGAUUCCCAGCCCCCACAGGGCAACUUACAACCAUCCAUACCUCCAGUUUCAGGGGAUGUGGUGUUCUCUUUUGACCUCCGUGGGCACCAGGGAUACACGUGCCGUAGGGGCAUACUUGCAUGCGAAAUACUCAUACACAUAAAAAUAAAAAAUCUAAAAAAGAUUAAAGAAAAACAAUCCUGUGGCUGUGGAGGUCAUAGGCCCUAGUGGGGAACUUACUAUUAUUGUUGAGAUAACAGUGUCAGACUUUCUUCUAAAUAUCUUCGUAUGUAUCCAUCGACAAAUGCUACUCUCACUCUUAGUCAGAGAAGACUCUUGGUAGUGAAGGGCAGAGACUCACGGCUGCCCAAGGUGCUAAGAACAAGUGAAGGCUGAGGGCUCAGCCCUAAACAAGAUAAUCCUACCACCCUUCUAAGGCUCAGGGAGCAUCAUGGAGGAGGGAAUGGGAAGAGUGGUAGCAGCAGCUGAUGUGGAGAUCUUGGAAAUGCCUUCUGGGUGUUUGCAAACACGAACACGCAGCAGCUGUCUUUCCCUGUGCUGAGCCUGCACAAGACUGGUCCCAGAUGGAGGGGAUGGUCAUACAAGGGACCCAACCUCCCUCCUGCUGAAUUAUUAGUUAUGGUAUAGAUUCCGGGAGAGGGCUAGUCCUUGUGACACAGUCAGCCCUAGCUAAACUCAGUAGUCACAAAACAAAAAGAUAAGAGUGUGGGAAAGGGAUCUGUAGGGAAGAGGGGAAUUAUCACUGGGUGAAAGUUAUCAGAAUGUAUUAUUUAUGAAUUAUAAAAUUAUCAAAACAAAAUUGAACUAAUAAAAAAGAGCUCUCUCUAGGGCAGUAGUUCCUAACCGUCCUAAUGGGGUGUGACCCUUUAAUAUAGUUCCUUAUGUUGUGGUAACCCCCAACCAUAAAAUUAUUUCUGUUGCUACUUCAAAACUAAUUUUGCAGCUAUUAUGAAUCAUAAUGUAAAUAUCUUAGAUGCAACCCCGGUGAAGUGACUGUUCAACCCCAAAGGAGUUGUGUCCCACAGGUUCAGAACUGCUGCUCUCGGGCAUCUUUACUACUGAAGAUAGUGACAUUUCUUUGUUCCUAAAAUGAACAAAACUCAUAACAUUCAGUGUGGCUAUAUCAAUGAAGUGUUAUAUAAUUUAAUUUGACAUUUAAGAUUUUUAAGUAAUAUAUUUUAACAUGCAAAACCAAAGUAUUAACAGCCAUGAUUUUGCAGUGAUUUUAUUAAAGGUAUGUUUACUUCUUAGUUUAUAUAAUUGGGAAUUUUAAAAAUGUAAUACAAAGUAUUGUUAUAAACCAAUUCAUAAAUGCUUCUUUAAAAUAAAGAGCACGUAGUCAUAUAAUAGAUAAUGCAUUUCAUUUCAGACACGGAUGCAUGCUGCGCGAAGACCACAUACUCUGCUCUUUCCUACACUUAUGCAUUUAUCGAACUUUUGUAGGGCCAGGUGUGGCCCUGGGUACUUACUAUGCCAAAGAGCCAUCUGUUGGGAUGAGGCAAUGAGUAUUGAUAUGGGUAUAUUUUAUUCCUUUCUCUGUAAUCUCUUUGUUUCUCCAUCACUCAUUUUAUUUAGAGUAAUAUUCUGUCUUCAGUGAGAGGCUCCAAACAGAUGAGAAAUGAAGGAGGCCAAUUUUUACAGAUUUGAUAUGAUCACCCAGUGCCCCAAUUAUUAGUGUGGACAGUGUGAUGGGAUGUUGUCUGCUGCUGUGACCACAGAUGCUUCAGAGACUCCGGUACAGACUCUAGGUACAGAAUAUGUGUGUGUGAGAGACAGUUCUUGCCCAUAGUUGCAUGAGCAGAGAGAGUGCCACCCAAGAACACAAGAAGGGCCACAGAACUUUGUGAAGACGAGGUAGGUAUGUAGAGCAAGCUGUGUUUUUACUUUGUCUUCUGUAUCAUGGGGAUCACCUACUGAGAAUGACAAAACCCUUAAAAGGAUUCAUCUAAGCCCUCUGCAUCAUGUGACCCAACAAACUCUUCUCUAGACUUCUAGAAGCUGAAGCCUGUGUCCUUAUGAUGCCAUGGUCACUCUUUGGGUUCCUGUCUGGGAAAGGACAGAUCUGCUAAAAGAAUGACUAUUUGUUCCAUCCAACAACUGGCCAUGGGCCAUUGCCUUUUAUUGGAGCAUUCACUAAAAAUAAGUAAAUAAAUGAAUAUUAAAUAAACCUUAUGAGAACUUCAUUUACCCCUUUGUGUGUGUACUCAUACAACGUUAGAGUGUUUUCCUCAAAGGUCUGGAAGCAUUCUUUUGAAAUAUGGCAUCAGAAUGGUAGAAUGUUUAUCUGUGUUCUCUCUGGGAGAGUAGGAAUCUAUAUCCUAGGUGUCGAUGAGCAGGACAGAGAUGGUGGCCUACAUGUUUUCUUUGGAAAAUCUUCUUUCUUAAAUAUUUGUUUUGCCAGUCCUGGGAUUGACUUUAUGAUUUCGGGCCUGCUAUCUAAAUGCUCUGCCACUUAAUUAUGUUCCAAGUCUUUUUUACUUUGGAAGACACGCUCUUUUUAAGUUGCCCAUGCUGGCCUUGAACUCUCUUCAUAGCCUUGGCAGGUUUUAUAUUUGUGAACUUGUUUCAGCCUCCUAAAUCGCUGAGAUUACAGGUCUGCUGCCACCGAGCCUGGCCAGCUGGAAAAUUGUCUCCCUCUUGAACUCUAAGCCAAAAUAAGCACUUCAUCUUUAAAUAGCUUUAUGUCAGGUAUCUGGUCACAAGGACAAGAAAAUAGCCAGUACAGCUAUGUUCAGGGGUGGGUACAUAAGACACGGCAUGACAGGAGAAAGGUGCACAGGUUCAUUUAAUAUGUUUUGUGUGACUGAUUCUGUGCCAGGACUUGCUGCCCAUCACACAUAGAAACCAAUGCUGUGUCAAGAGUGUUUGCAAAAAGAAGCAAGCUUAAUGAAGGUCUACAGACACGGAGACCGGAAGUAGCCUUAAGUAGCCUUUCUGAUUGGCCAAUGAUCAUUUCAAGGUCUUUGAGGAUAGUUAGUGCUUCUGAUGUUUUGAUCUCAAUUGAGCAGAGUUGCGUUUUGCGGUUUUAAUGUGAAUUCAAGGUCAGCUCCCUGAACUCUUCAGCCCGUGAAACUUCCAGUUUUUAAUCUAUGAUUUUGUUGGUCCUGGCCUUUUAAUCCCACCGAGCUCUAGAUCACUCUUAGGUUGUUUAAGGUGUCUGGCAGCAACUGCUCUAUAACACAUCUUAUGAACAGUUAGAAAUGCAGGAAUUUUAAAAUAUCAUUGACUGCAGAGAGAGGGGGUAGCUCCAAGGUAAUUUGGGGGUUCAAAUGAGGGCAGGAUACGGGGACUCAGUAGCGUGAGAGAAGACAGAAGAGCAGAGCUGGUUACUGUAAACGACAGAGAUAAACCCAGCUGUGUUUGCUGACUUGGAAGUAGGGAAGUUAGGAUUCCGUUGUCCCAGAAUUCUGAAUACAGAGGCUUUAUUCAUCGGAUGUUUAUGUUCUUAGGAACCGUUCUUCGGGUCCCGAGGGACAAUUCUGGGUCACAAGAGAUAGACUCACAAUUUUAAAUGAACCUUUUUUUAGUGAGUGCCAGCUGACAGUCCUGGCCUGUUGAGGAAGGAUUCAGUUAGACAAAGGGACAGACUUUCUAAUGAUCUUAACUGAAGGCACGCAGGCUUUGCAUCCAGAUUCUUCUCUGAUCUCCGAGACUUCGGAGACUGCCACGCCCCCUCCUCUGUGUGUCUCAGCGCAUCUCUCAGGUGAGAACCUUAUGAUCGUCACCUGAAGGAAGGUCAAAGCCUUCACCUGUGGCUUGCUUCAGGGGACAGGAGUGCCAGAAGACCAUGGUAUGUUCCUGCUUUUGUGGUUUUUUUGAUCUAUUAGUGUCUUGGCCCACAGCAUCUGUUUAUUCUCUCUUUAACUGACACCCAGAGGAUGACACUUUGUUCAUCCUCUCUGCCCCCUUCAGCUCAAGCUUGUCUUGGUGGAAGCUUCCUGAGGACCACAUGGACAGCCUGAUAUCUAAUUCCAGUAGUUAGGAUACAGCAGAAUAAAGAAGGUUGAUGCCCGAGGCUUCAGAAAUAGAGCUGACCACAGAGGGAACUGAACUGUCCCCUGAGUGACCUGGAGGAAGGACCAGGUACCAUAAGGAUGGAAACGUGAUGGCUGUGUUACAGAAGGUAGCUGCAGGAACCUAUAACUGAAAAGAGGAACCCCAAAUCUAAAGGACUGUAAGAAUUUAGUCCUGGCACAGAUUACCAAUGCAGAAUGAAGUAUAAUGGAGCAGAGAAACAAAAGCAAAGCUGUGUUUGGGUGGAAUGUUUUCUUUGAUGGAGAAGGUGAUGAUCCUUAAAAUGAAAUACUGUAAGAUUUGGCUUCAAAUCAAAGUUCCAUUAGCAACCAUCAAAGACCAUAAAAUGAUGGGAUUUCCUCUCUUGUGAAUCUCACUAUUUCCUGAAGCUCUUUGGAAUGCAAACUGAGAUUUAUCCUGAAGUCCUGACAAGUGCAAAUUGCUUUUCCCCUUCUUAUCUGUUUCAUAAGUUUGGGGAAGACUAGACAGCUUGUACCACACGGUAUCCUCCAUAGCACCCCACACAGCGCCCUGCAGAUACAGAAAGCCUCCCAAGAGGACUGCUGAGUGAGCAAACGGGUGGACUACUGGAGUGGGUGAAAGCCGUGGCCUUAUAUCUGGCAUCAUUUGAAGAGACCGUCGUGAAAGCAAAAGCACGGCUAGAGUCAGAGACCUGGAGACCUGGAGACAACACAGUGCUGCUUAGUUUUGUGGCAAAAUCCUGAGAUACAAAUUUUCAUCAAAUAGUAUUGAAGAGCCACAUUUAGACCUCUUGUCUGAGUUUCUCUUUAUAGAUGACACCUGGCAGACGCCACACGCAGAAUUCCAAUCUUCGGUUCAGCAGCUGGGAGAAGAGACAGACUGCAAUUGUGAGAUCAGAGCCGGAACCAAACCCCAGCGCUCCAUCACAUUGGAUCAGUUUACGCUGGAGCCAGCCCCUCGUGGGCACUUGCUUUCCGGCUCCACUUCUGCAAACCAGUGCCUGUACACGCAGUUGUAAUCCAGUAAUCCAAUUUCCUGUCAAUGUUCUCAACUGUUGACUGAAUUGUUUGAGACAUAGGUGUAUUUGAUGGCAUGUAAGAUUUGUUUGUAUUCUUUCCAUUUUUACUUUUUGAUUAGUUUACAAAGUAUCAGGCUUCUUAUGACACUUUUAUGUGGACCCACUCCACUUUCUCCCCAUCUCACUGCAGUGUUAUCCCCACCCACCUUCUCCCAUUCCCUGAAUUCUGUUUUCCACUUUCAUAACCAUGGGGGCCCAAAAAUAUGAGCCUAUUUCCACCUUGUCUGAAGGUCAUAGGGUUUCAACUUACCCAAAGUUGUUAUAACACGAAUGUGGCUACACUCCCUGACUUAGGGUGUGGUUGCUUUGUGUCUUGGAUGUCAAGAUGGCUCAUUCAGGUAAAUCCACUCCACUCUGACCAAAGGUCAGAGAAUUCAAACAUGCUUCUGCUCCUUCGUUAGAAUUAAGAAAUUUGAGCUAGGGAGUGGCUACCUUCAAGGAUACUUGGUCUAGGGUGGGUUCACUGCCUAAACAACAGAAUGUUUUCCUCAAUAAUUAAUGACUUGAUGUCUGAAAUAUUGAAGCAAGCAACUAUUCUGGUUGUCCUUUGUAUCAUGUUAAAGCGGUCUUUUGCCUUCUUCCCCAUUUUGUAUUGGGGUAUAAAAGUGUAUGGGAAAUUAAAUAAGGGCAAAUUUCAGCAUUCA